GGGAAGCUGAACAACAUCCAGGUGCAAAGGCUGAAGGACAAGCUGGGCACGAGGCAGAUGGCAACAGCAGAGCUGUGGCUGCAAGGAGCCAGAGCAGAGCUGAUCUCUGCAGAGAGCCGUGGAGUGGUCGCCAUCUCCAACAUGCUGAACAUCACUCGGAUCCACAACAUCACUGGGGCAGUGGCUUCCAUGAGAAGGCAGCACAGAUCCCUCAGGGCUGAAGGAGCAGCUGGUCAGGACAAGGGGACUUUGCAGUGCUCGGCAUUGAGCCCAGUGUCCCCUUUUGGGACAGGCC
rnacentral:lncRNA from 1 species